rnacentral:rRNA from 1 species
UACGGAGGGUGCAAGCGUUAUCCGGAUUCACUGGGUUUAAAGGGUGCGUAGGCGGGCAGGUAAGUCAGUGGUGAAAUCUCCGGGCUUAACCCGGAAACUGCCGUUGAUACUAUCUGUCUUGAAUAUCGUGGAGGUAAGCGGAAUAUGUCAUGUAGCGGUGAAAUGCUUAGAUAUGACAUAGAACACCGAUUGCGAAGGCAGCUCGUUACACGAACAUUGACUCUGAGGCUCGAAAGCGUGGGGAUCAAACAGG